ACAGCUUGUGGAUCAGUCCCGCAUGCCAG
rnacentral:sRNA from 1 species